rnacentral:rRNA from 1 species
UACAGAGGGUGCGAGCGUUGUCCGGAAUCACUGGGCGUAAAGGGCGCGUAGGUGGCGACCCAAGUCGAUGGUGAAAGCUCGCCGCUCAACGGCGAGUCGGCCACCGAUACUGGGUUGCUCGAGCACUGUAGAGGCUAAUGGAAUUCCGGGUGUAGCGGUGGAAUGCGUAGAUAUCUGGAGGAACACCGGUGGCGAAGGCGGCAUCCUGGACCGGCAUUGACGCUGAGGCGCGAAAGCCAGGGGAGCAAAGCGGG